rnacentral:ncRNA from 1 species
GAUUGCAUUUUUUUGACGACCUCUCUGCAAUCGCGGCUG